AAUUUGUGCUAUGGGCACCUUCUCAAAAGAUCCUUGAAGCGCUCCUAUGUCUCAAACAGUGAUUCCAACUCCAUUUGUACAAACGAUGAUAUCUUAUUACGAAGCU